CUCUCUCAGUCUUUUUUUUUCUCUCUUUAUUGUACUUAUUAAUAGUUGCUAUGGUAGAUAAAUAAUUGUAGAUGUGUAUGUGUUUAUGUAGGUUUUGAAUAGGCGAAGUUCUACAGAUUUUGUGUUGUGCUACUGAUCAGCGAACUGUGAAUUCUCGGUCACCGAAGACUUUCCCAUGGAGUACAAAUGGAGGAGAAUGAUAUUGGUGGAGAUGUACCUGAAUUUGGUGCAAUCUUCAUGUCAAAUAUUGCAACGAAGAGGGAGUGCUUUAAACGGAAAGUUUUUGGUCUUCCAUCUUCCAUGGCUAGUUUUGUUAAGCAGGUUAAAGUAGGAAUGGUUUUAUUCUUGUUUGAAUUUGAGAAACGACAGCUUUUCGGUGUUUACCGGGCCACUUCUGAUGGUGGAAUGAAUAUUGCGCCCCAUGCAAUUAAUUC